rnacentral:rRNA from 1 species
GUUUCCUUAUGUGUAUCUAACGAUUCGCGUGUCGGAUUAUUGGGGCGGUAAGAGCUCGUAGGCGGUCUGUCGCGUCUGCUGUGAAAACCCGAGGCUCAACCUCGGGCCUGCAGUGGGUACGGGCAGACUAGAGUGCGGUAGGGGAGAAUGGAAUUCCUGGUGUAGCGGUGGAAUGCGCAGAUAUCAGGAGGAACACCGAUGGCGAAGGCAGUUCUCUGGGCCGUAACUGACGCUGAGGAGCGAAAGCGUGGGGAGCGAACAGGAUUAGAUACCCUGGUAGUCCACGCCGUAAACGUUGGGCGCUAGAUGUGGGGACCAUUCCACGGUUUCCGUGUCGCAGCUAACGCAUUAAGCGCCCCGCCUGGGGAGUACGGCCGCAAGGCUAAAACUCAAAGGAAUUGACGGGGGCCCGCACAAGCGGCGGAGCAUGCGGAUUAAUUCGAUGCAACGCGAAGAACCUUACCAAGGCUUGACAUAUACGAGAACGGGCCAGAAAUGGU